ACAUUGGGCGGUCUAAUAGAGACAGUGAAGUUAUUGGACGUAUUUUGUUUGACCAUCUGCUGGAAUCUAGAGUUUUACCGCAAAUGCUUCGAUUUGACAAAGGAACUGAGACCGUCCAUGCUGCAGCUGUACACAAAACUCUAUUGCAACUGAAAAAUGUUGACAAGGAGAUUACAACGAUACUUGGUCCUUCUACUGCCAACAAAAUAGAACGAUUGUGGAGGCAGGUCCGCGAAAAGGUUUGUGAUGGUUUUCGUCACGUACUUAGAGAGAUUGAUCAAGACGGUCUGUAUGAUUCAAGUUGCGAGUAUGACAGGGAUUUAAUUGCUGGUGUGUUCAUACCUGUUGUCGAACGUUAUCUCGACGAAUUCAGGGAGAACCAUAACAAUAUGAGGGGAAGAAAGCAGCGCAACGUGGAACUUCCAUCAGGAAC